rnacentral:tRNA from 1 species
UGGCUCAGCUGGUAGAGAAUCUGCCUUCAAUGCAGGAGACCUGGGUUCAAUCCCUG